rnacentral:rRNA from 1 species
UACGUAGGGGGCAAGCGUUGUCCGGAAUCAUUGGGCGUAAAGAGCGUGUAGGCGGCCCGAUAAGUCCGCUGUGAAAGUCCAGGGCUCAACCCUGGAAAGCCGGUGGAUACUGUCGGGCUCGAGUCCGGAAGAGGCGAGUGGAAUUCCUGGUGUAGCGGUGAAAUGCGCAGAUAUCAGGAGGAACACCGAUGGCGAAGGCAGCUCGCUGGGACGGUACUGACGCUGAGACGCGAAAGCGUGGGGAGCAAACAGG